UCCAUUCCGAACUCAGAAGUGAAACGAAAUAGCGCCGAUGGUAGUGUGGGGUUUCCCCAUGUGAGAGUAGGACAUCGCCAGGU
rnacentral:rRNA from 1 species